rnacentral:rRNA from 1 species
GACGAACGCUGGCGGCGUGCCUAAUGCAUGCAAGUCGAGCGGGCUACAGUCUUCGGAUUGUAGCUUAGCGGCGAACGGGUGAGUAACACGUAGGUAAUCUACCCUUCAGAGGAGGACAACCUCAGGAAACUGAGGCUAAACCUUCAUACGUUCACUGGUAGGGAUACUGGUGAAGAAAGAGUUACCGUAAGGUAGUUGCUGAAGGAUGAGCCUGCGGCCCAUCAGGUAGUUGGUGAGGUAACGGCUCACCAAGCCUAAGACGGGUAACCGGUCUGAGAGGAUGUCCGGUCACACUGGGACUGAGACACGGCCCAGACUCCUACGGGAGGCAGCAGCAGGGAAUCUUGGGCAAUGGGCGAAAGCCUGACCCAGCGACGCCGCGUGGAGGAAGAAGUCCUUCGGGGCGUAAACUCCUGGACUGGGGGACGAGGAAGGACGGUACCCCAGUAGAAAGGGACGGCUAACUACGUGCCAGCAGCCGCGGUAAAACGUAGGUCCCGAGCGUUGUUCGGAUUCACUGGGUGUAAAGGGCGCGUAGGUGGUUGUCUGUGUCUCAUGUGAAAACUCAGGGCUCAACUCUGAGAUUGCGUGGGAAACUAGGCAGCUAGAGGACGGUAGAGGGGGGUAGAAUUCCAGGUGUAGCGGUGAAAUGCGUAGAGAUCUGGAGGAAUACCGGUGGCGAAGCGGCCCCCUGGACAAAGACUGACGCUCAGGUGCGAAAGCGUGGGGAGCGAACA